UGGUGGGUAGUUUGACUGGGGCGGUCUCCUCCUAAAGAGUAACGGAGGAGCACGAAGGUUGGCUAAUCCUGGUCGGACAUCAGGAGGUUAGUGCAAUGGCAUAAGCCAGCUUGACUGCGAGCGUGACGGCGCGAGCAGGUGCGAAAGCAGGUCAUAGUGAUCCGGUGGUUCUGAAUGGAAGGGCCAUCGCUCAACGGAUAAAAGGUACUCCGGGGAUAACAGGCUGAUACCGCCCAAGAGUUCAUAUCGACGGCGGUGUUUGGCACCUCGAUGUCGGCUCAUCACAUCCUGGGGCUGAAGUAGGUCCCAAGGGUAUGGCUGUUCGCCAUUUAAAGUGGUACGCGAGCUGGGUUUAGAACGUCGUGAGACAGUUCGGUCCCUAUCUGCCGUGGGCGCUGGAGAACUGAGGGGGGCUGCUCCUAGUACGAGAGGACCGGAGUGGACGCAUCACUGGUGUUCGGGUUGUCAUGCCAAUGGCACUGCCCGGUAGCUAAAUGCGGAAGA
rnacentral:rRNA from 1 species